UAGGGAAUCUUCGGCAAUGGGGGGCAACCCUGACCGAGCAACGCCGCGUGAGUGAAGAAGGUUUUCGGAUCGUAAAAGCUCUGUUGUAAGAGAAGAACGUGUGUGAGAGUGGAAAGUUCACACAGUGACGGUAACUUACCAGAAAGGGACGGCUAACUACGUGCC
rnacentral:rRNA from 1 species